rnacentral:misc_RNA from 1 species
GGCCGCUCAUCUCCCUGCUGCCGCGUCCCUGCGCCCGGCCUUCGUCCCCGUCGCGCCGAUCCGCGCUCGCCCAGGUCGCCCGCCGUCGCCCAGCUCGGUGCCUUCCCUGCUCCUCCAAGCCGGCGUCCUCUGCCCUCAUCUUCUUCCUCAGCCGGCCGAGGUCCUUCCCAUGGCGCCCCUCCCUGCUCCCGUGCACGUGCCCCCCUGGUGGUCGGAGCUCGCCAACGCCAGUUGUUCCUCCACACACACCUCCUGCUCCCCUCGCCAUGGCAUGGAUGACCGCUGUAUCUGCUCCUGUC